GGAAAUGCUAACACUAUCACUGGCUGCCUUCUUUCCUGUAGUAUAAACUUCAAGUACAUACCCCUGAUAUGUGAAACAAGCAAACUUAAUGACCCAGUUCAUCAGCUCUUCCUAAAUGCAGGCAUUAAGUCAAAAACUUUUUAAAAACUUUCUGAAUAGUCAUUUCUUUAAGAAAAUUUUAAUUACAGUUGACAUACAAUAUUAGUUUUAGGUGUACAACAUAGUGAUUCCUAUGUAGGCAUUUACAUAACCUACAAAGUGAUCACCUUGAUAAAUAUAGCACCCAUCUGAUGUCAUACACAGUCAUUACAAUAUCAUUGACUAUAUUCCCUAUGCUGUACUUCACAUCCCCAUGACUAUUUUGUAACUACUAAUUUGUACAUCUUAAUCUCUUCCUCUUUUUCACCGCCCCACCAAAUCUGGCAACCAUCAAAAUGUUUUCUUUACGAGUUUUUCUAUUUUGUUUGUUUGUUUAUUGUUUUUUAGAUUCCACAUUCUUGCUACUUAACAUAAACUGUUGACUGUCCUCUAGUCUCCUCACACAAGGAUGGUGGAUGUAAGAGGAAAUUUGAGAGCUGGAGGCCCAAGAACCAGACCCGCCAUCAUGGCAGGAGUUGGCAAACUAUGGCUGGCCCUCAAGCCUAAUCUGGCAUCUACAAGUUCCUGUAAAUCAAGUUUUAUUGGAACACAGCAACAUCCAUUCACUUACUUUGGUGUUUACCCCGACCAUUCUGUACUGCCUAUGGCUGCUUUCACACUACAAUAGCAGAGCUGAGUAUGUGAGACCUCUAUCGUAGCUUAUGGCCUACAAAGCCUAAUUUAUUACCUGCCCGUUUAUAGAAAACCUUUGCCUUCCUCUGCUCUAAGCCACAUAUACAUAUCAAAAUUGAUUGGGUGGUGGGAUUCUUUAAAUAAGUAAUCCACUAAAAAAUCCCAAAAGCCACUGCAAUAGGAACAUUUUAGACCACAGAUAGGAAAUUUCAAUCUAAUUUUCAAUUAUCAUUGGAAAUAAUUGAUGGACAUCAUUCUCUAUCAUACAUAGAAAGCACAACGCAUACUCAAAUGGAAACAAUCCUAUUUGAAAAAGUUUUAUUUAAAAAACUUUUUUAUACUUUGGACACUACAGAAGUCACUUACUUUGUUAGCAAAUACUUCUUUAAAAUAACCGCUCCUUAGUUUAUAUAUAUAAAAGCUUUAAAUGAGCCUGAUGUUUUUCUAGGGCAAUGGCUUAUUAUACUUUCAGUGGAUUUUCAUUUUCUUAAUUUUCUUACAUUUGCUUGCUUGUUAAAGUUGAAGUCAGAUUCCAAAAUUAUAAGUUAAUGAAAUAGCCUCGGAAGCAACAACUUACACUAUAUUAUAAAGUAAACUAGGGACUCAGAGCAAAGAAUUUUCUGAGCAUCAGGAAAGCCUAUAUCAAUUCCUUGACCAAAUGGUUGUACUUAUGUAGCAAGCUCACAAUUUUAUUUUUAUUAACCAAAUACUUUAAACAUGGGAAAUGCAUUUUAAAUUUAUGAGAACAUAUACUCAACCUUCCAGAUUUAAUGGAUGUUAACAUUUUGUCACACUUGUAUAAAACUUCUGUCUCUUGUUUGUAAGAAAUAAAUGGUUCUGAAUACAACUAUCUGGAUUCUGAAGGCUUUUGCCCUUCCUAUUUCCUUAGAUGUCAUCAAAACCUGAAGUUGUGUAUUUUUCCUUUCCAUAUUCUCGUACAUUUGAUAUAUUAAUAAACAAUAUAUGGUAUUGUUUCUAGUAUGAAA